UAAGAAGCUUUACACAUUCGUCUGAAGUAAAACCUCUCGCAUAGAGCUGUACUCCUUUGUAUUCUCUAGGAACAUAUAACUGAAGAUGAACUCAAAAGUGUUCUUCUCUUUCUUUGUUGUUGCUCUGAUUUCGUCGUUGUUUUGUCAUCAGAGCCAAGCGUUUAAUGCUGGAAUGGGAGGCAUGGGAGGAAAACGGCAGUUUGAAAGCUGUGUGGAGACCGCAAAUCGACUUCAGCAAUUGUGUUCCAUAGCCGCGACUGUCUGCCCACGAGCUGCAACGCGAGAAGAACAUCAUGAACAUUAGCUUGACUAUACUGGAAACUUAACGCUCAACUUGCAAACGCGCUGAUUCCUCUACUGACAGAACCAAAUGAAUGCUGCUGUAAAGAGGAAAAAAAGCUUCAAAUGGAUCUAGUUUUAAACCUUUUAGCAUUAGAACACGUACCAACUACUUGUGGUGUAGAAUAAAGCAAUCGAUGGCAGAAAGGAAUAAAGUAACGGGUAAAAUGCAAAUA